rnacentral:rRNA from 1 species
GACGAACGCUGGCGGCGUGCUUAACACAUGCAAGUCGAACGGAAAGGCCCUGCUUUUGUGUGGUGCUCGAGUGGCGAACGGGUGAGUAACACGUGAGUAACCUGCCCUUGACUUUGGGAUAACUUCAGGAAACUCGGGCUAAUACCGGAUAGGAGCUCCUGCUGCAUGGUGUGGGUUGGAAAGUUUCGGCGGUUGGGGAUGGACUGGCGGCUUAUCAGCUUGUUUGUGGAGUAGUGGCUGACCAAGCCUUUGACGGGUAGCCGGCCUGAGAGGGUGACCGGGCACAUGGGGCCUGCGCUAGGGACCAGAAGCGUACGGGAGGCAGCGGUGGGAAAUAUUGCGGAAUGGGCCGAAGCCUGAUGUAAAGGCGCCGCGUGCGGGAUGACGGGUUUCGGGUUGUAAACAGCUUUCGACUGUAACGUAGCGUGAGUGACGGUAAUGGGUAAAGAAGCAACGGCUAACUACGUG